AUGAAGACCUGUAUGAAUGGCAUAACGAGGGCUUAACUGUCUCCUCUUUCUGGUCAAUGAAAUUGAUCUCCCCGUGCAGAAGCGGGGAUAAAUCCAUAAGACGAGAAGACCCUAUGGAGCUUUAGACACCAAGGAAGAUCCUGUCAAAACCCACCAAAAAUGGAAAGAACUAAUGGAUACCUCCUUCCCUAAUGUC
rnacentral:rRNA from 1 species